rnacentral:rRNA from 1 species
UACGGGGGGGGCAAGCGUUGUUCGGAAUUACUGGGCGUAAAGGGCUCGUAGGCGGCCAACUAAGUCAGACGUGAAAUCCCUCGGCUUAACCGGGGAACUGCGUCUGAUACUGGAUGGCUUGAGUUUGGGAGAGGGAUGCGGAAUUCCCGGUGUAGUGGUGGAAUGCGUAGAUAUCGGGAGGAACACCAGUGGCGAAGGCGGUUGCCUGGGGCUGUGCUGACGCUGAUGCGCGAAAGCGUGGGGAGCGAUCCGG